CCCGCCGGCGACCGGCGCACGGGUGAGUAACACGUAUGCAACCUGGCCGCCACAGGGGGAUAACCCGCGGAAACGCGGCCUAAUACCCCGUGACGCCACCGGAGGGCAUCCUCCGGUGGCCAAAGGAGCGAUCCGGUGGCGGAUGGGCAUGCGGCGCAUUAGCUAGACGGCGGGGUGACGGCCCACCGUGGCGACGAUGCGUAGGGGUUCUGAGAGGAAGGCCCCCCACACUGGGACUGAGACACGGCCCAGACUCCUACGGAAGGCAGCAG
rnacentral:rRNA from 1 species